rnacentral:rRNA from 1 species
AAACCAGCACCUCAAGUGGUCAGGAGGAUUAUUGGGCCUAAAGCAUCCGUAGCCGGCUCUGUAAGUUUUCGGUUAAAUCCGUACGCUCAACGUACAGGCUGCCGGAAAUACUGCAGAGCUAGGGAGUGGGAGAGGUAGACGGUACUCGGGAGGAAGGGGUAAAAUCCUUUGAUCUCUCGAUGACCACCUGUGGCGAAGGCGGUCUACCAGAACACGUCCGGCGGUGAGGGAUGAAAGCUGGGGGAGCAAACCGGAUUAGAAACCCGAGUAGUCC